UACGUAGGGCGCAAGCGUUGUCCGGAAUUAUUGGGCGUAAAGAGCUCGUAGGCGGUUUGUCGCGUCUGUCGUGAAAGCCCACGGCUUAACUGUGGGUUUGCGGCGGAUACGGGCAGACUUGAGGCAGGUAGGGGAGCAUGGAAUUCCCGGUGUAGCGGUGAAAUGCGCAGAUAUCGGGAGGAACACCGGUGGCGAAGGCGGUGCUCUGGGCCUGUUCUGACGCUGAGGCGCGAAAGCGUGGGGAGCAAACAGG
rnacentral:misc_RNA from 1 species